GGUUUGCUAUUGGGUGGUCAGUCAAUUUGCUGUUAGGUGGUCAGUUUGCUAUUGGGUGGUCAGUCUAUUUGCUGUUAGGUGGUCAGUUUGCUAUUAGGUGGUCAGUCAGUUUGCUGUUAGGUCACUAUGGAGGACAUUUUGUGGAAAAAUGGUAAUUUUUAAUCAUGCACCAUAAUGCAUACGUGCAAGAUACCAAACUAAACCGAUCCUGCUGCAGUUAUUGAAAGCACAUACUGAAGCUCUGACUGGUUGUAAUCAUAACUGUUCCAUUCAGCACUCACCGAAACAUUUUUCACGGAAAUUCAACACCCCCCACGCCCCCCUUGAUUUCUCUGGCCUGAUACGACUAAACAAAUCUCCGUGAUGUGCUUUUGUUUGUGCUCUGCCUGUGGUGAUAAACUUCUGUGACUGCAGAGAUGUUCGCUGGAGGUGCUACCCCAGCAGAUGGUGCUGCACGUCUGCCUAUUUGAAGGGGUUUUGUCAUGACAAUGGAAGAAGCAAAAAUGGGAAGAGAGACUAAGGGGACCAUACAAGUGAG